rnacentral:piRNA from 1 species
UGAACAGAGGAUUACCCUGUGUGGGAUGCA